AAGACUAUACUUUCAGGGAUCAUUUCUAUAGUUCGUUACUAAAGAAGUUUCUCUGAACGUGUAGAGCACCGGUACAAACAAAUG
rfam:Homo sapiens chromosome 9, GRCh38 reference primary assembly.